rnacentral:misc_RNA from 1 species
AUAUAUAUAAUUCAGUGUGUUGGUUGGUUGUCACUUUGUCAAAUUAAAAAAAUAAAGGGAAAAACAAAGAAAGAAAGAAAAGAAGCCGGGCGCGCAGGCAGCGCUCUGCUGAUGCUGCGUCGUGGAGUGGAGGAGACACUAUCACGGACUAGUGGGCAUCAUGUCGCUUCCUCUGUUUUCUGCUGCCUGUUGGUGGUGAGUGGCCUCAUCUCAUCUAGUAUUGACUAUAUAUAUAAAUGCAUGGUGGGUGUAACUGCCAUACGAGCACUAGUGUUUGUGUUCAAUAUGUCUGUCCGUUCGCGCAGAGAAAUCUGUUCUUAAGGGCAUGUACAGUGGGUGUUUUAAGUUAUGUCUUACAGUGUGUCUAGGGGGGUGAAUAUAAAAAAACUCAAGACACGUAUCUUGACGAAGACACAGUGUCUUAGCUCUAUGUUCGAGACAGUAGACUAGCUGAUUGGUCACUUUAAUUUAUUGAAUGCUCUGAUUGGUACAAUGAAUAUCGUAAGACACAUGUUUUAGACAUGACUAUUGUAUUAUGUUGUGUUUUAGUUGUAUCUUGUACUUAGAGUACCGUGC